rnacentral:rRNA from 1 species
UACAGAGGGUGCAAGCGUUUGUUCGGAAUUAUUGGGCGUAAAGAGCUCGUAGGCGGUCUGUCGCGUCUGCUGUGAAAACUCAGGGCUUAACCCUGAGCUUGCAGUGGGUACGGGCAGACUAGAGUGCGGUAGGGGAGACUGGAAUUCCUGGUGUAGCGGUGAAAUGCGCAGAUAUCAGGAGGAACACCGGUGGCGAAGGCGGGGUCUCUGGGCCGUAAACUGACGCUGGAGGAGCGAAAAGCAUGGGGAGCGAACAGG